GGCUAGGGUUAGAGGUAGUACCGGGGCUGGGGUUAGAGGUAGUACUGGGGCUGGGGUUAGAGGUAGUACCGGGGCUGGGGUUAGAGGUAGUAUCGGGGCUGGGGUUAGAGGUAGUACUGGGGCUGGGGUUAGAGGUAGUACUGGGGCUGGGGUUAGAGGUAGUACUGGGGCUGGGGUUAGAGGUAGUACCGGGGCUGGGCUUAGAGGUAGUACUGGGAUUAGAGGUAGUACUGGGGCUGGGGUUAGAGGUAGUACUGGGGUUAGAGGUAGUACUGGGGCUGGGGUUAGAGGUAGUACCGGGGCUGGGGUUAGAGGUAGUGUUGGGGGUUAGAGGUAGUACUGGGGUUAGAGGUAGUACCGGGGCUGGGGUUAGAGGUAGUACCGGGGCUGGGGUUAGAGGUAGUACUGGGGCUGGGGCUAGAGGUAGUACUGGGGCUGGGGUUAGAGGUAGUACUGGGGCUGGGGCUGGGGAUAGAGGUAGUACUGGGGCUGGGGUUAGAGGUAGUACCAGGGCUGGGGUUAGAGGUAGUACUGGGGUUAGAGGUAGUACUGGGGCUGGGGUUAGAGGUAGUACUGGGACUGGGGUUAGAGGUAGUACUGGGGCUGGGGUUAGAGGUAGUACUGGGGCUGGGGUUAGAGGUAGUACCAGGGCUGGGGUUAGAGGUAGUACCGGGGCUGGGGUUAGAGGUAGUACCGGGGCUGGGGUUAGAGGUAGUACCGGGGCUGGGGUUAGAGGUAGUGUUGGGGGUUAGAG
rnacentral:lncRNA from 1 species